rnacentral:rRNA from 1 species
UGGAGGCAGCAGUGGGGAAUCUUGCACAAUGGGCGAAAGCCUGAUGCAGCGACGCCGCGUGAGCGAUGAAGGCCUUCGGGUUGUAAAGCUCUGUCUUAGGGGACGAAGACCUAUCUGCAAAUAGCGGGUAGGAAUGACGGUACUCUAGGAGGAAGCCCCGGCUAACUACGUGCCAGCAGCCGCGGUGACACGUAGGGGGCGAGCGUUGUCCGGAAUUACUGGGCGUAAAGGGCGCGUAGGUGGCCUGUUAAGUGGAGUGUGAAAUCGUGCGGCUCAACCGCACAACUGCGCUCCAAACUGGCGGGCUUGAGGUCAGGAGAGGGAAGUGGAAUUCACGGUGUAGCGGUGAAAUGCGUAGAUAUCGGGAGGAACACCAGUGGCGAAGGCGACUUCCUGGACUGCACCUGACACUGAGGCGCGAAAGCUAGGGGAGCGAACGGGAUUAGAUACCCCGGUAGU